rnacentral:rRNA from 1 species
AGUAAAGUGGCGCACGGGUGAGUAACACGUGACUAACCUACCCUUGAGUGGGGAUAACCUCGGGAAACCGGGGCUAAUACCGCAUAAUAUCGAGAGAUCAAAGGAGCAAUUCGCUUAAGGAGGGGGUCGCGGCUGAUUAGCUAGUUGGUGAGGUAACGGCUCACCAAGGCUAUGAUCAGUAUCCGGCCUGAGAGGGCGCACGGACACACUGGAACUGAAACACGGUCCAG